rnacentral:lncRNA from 1 species
UGAAACAAUGCCGGGAGAGCAAAGCCGCUGAGAGUUUGUCCCGUUAGAUCCAGGCGUGAAGGACGGACUGUACUACAGGGAGCAGAUCUGUGUGAAACUUCUGCUAAUCAUACUGAGCUCUAGGAGUGCCGUUCUGCUGGUCGUAGAGAGGAGUAAAGUCACACCCAAAGGUCAAUGUCUGCAUUUUAUGUUUGCAUGUUGUCUUUCAUGAUAAGAAAAAUUUUGUCUCUUGUUUAUACCGUGUUUGUCUCCGUUUAUGAUUCAUUUUGAAAAUCUGUUGGUUGACAUCAUGACAAACCCUGCGUUUUUUUAUAGGUGAAGCUGAGGAGUACAUGAAACUUAAAUUAACCUUUGCAGAUUUUGAUAAAUCAAGCUUGACAAUAGAGGAUUUAAUUCUGUAUUGAGGAAAAAAGCGAAGACAUUUCAUAAACAAAAUAGGGAUUUCAUAAUGUAUGCUGCUUAUUUUAUAACAGUGUAUGUGCACAUAUGCAAGCGCAGUGGCUGUCUGAUAAGAACUGGAUUUGAAUCCUCAAAUACUUGAUUGCCUAUAAAUUUAAGGAAAUACAUGGCAACAAAUUCAAAAUGUGGCCUUCUGGGUGAGAUAUGGCUAUUAGUGAAAGAAACCCACUUUUUAUCAGGAAUGAAAUUAAAAUUUUUAGAAACCACAAGUUUAAAAACCCAUCUCUAAAAUUUAGUGGAAUGUGUAAAAACUAAUGAAUGCUUUAAUUUAUAGUAAACAAUAAUUAUAUUGGCCUCUCAAACACCAUUCUGAGUUUAAGUGGCUUAGAAAGUUGAUUUAUUAUUGCAUCAGGUGUUAAAAGAUGACACUAGUGAUUGCGUUUUGUUUCGCUCCAAACUCUUCUGGCUUGUUUGUUUUUCUUCUAAACGUUUUUUUUUUGGCUCACAUUUAGUGUGUUGAGUUUACUACUAAAUAAUCUACCAUUCUUCUACAGGAAUGGAAAAAGAGUUGGGACCUGGUGGGAAAUUAUCUUUUGGCCACACUUAAUAUACAAAGUCUAGUAACAAUCACUCCCGGAAAUUUCUUUAUCUCUGUUACAUUUGCAUUCAAUGGAAUCUGACUUUAAUGAUUAAAAAUGUCAGGGUAUGGUCUACACCAGUUUCUAAAAAGAGAUUCUCAUUGUCUUUGGUGACAAUCAAGUGGGUAGGAUGCUACAAAUCCCCCCCCCAACCCCCCCGACCCAAAACUCUUUGCCAUAUUGUUACUUAGUUGCUUAAAAAGCACAUUAUGUGUUUAAAUCAUUCUCCUGACUCUUCAGCAGGAAACAAUUCUUAAAUUUAGGAAAAUUUACCAAAGCUAAGGGGAAGGGCUUUCCAUGCCCCCUCCCCACCUAAACUCUGAUUAAAAGUUAGUGAGUUAAUGUCACUUAAUUACUUGGGUGCUUCUUUUUUGUCUUGUCUGUGGCUGCUUAAGUCUGAUGGCUCCUACAUAACCCAGCGAACUCGCACCCGAGCUGACACACGAUGGAAAUAGAACUGAAUAAUAAUUAACACUAUUUUCCAGUAGGGUAGGACAAUUGUUAUUUAAAACAUAGUCCCUAUAGCUUUAUUUAAACGUAUCUAGUUAAGGUUAAUUUGGCAUUUAAAGUAGUAAAUCAGGAACAUUCUCCUAACUUGGAUUUUCUUGGGAAAUGCACUAAACAGGACAAUUAUUCCUGAAAACCUAGUGACCUUCACAGGAACAUGGCGGGACCUGUGACACUAAGUAAGCUUCAGUGAAAACUGUUCACGGUCGUAACCGUAGAAGUGUUGCCAAAUCUGUUUCCAUACUCUCUUUGAUCAUCAUCAAACAUUCUCAAAUGUAGGCAAUGCUAACACUAAUUAUAGAAAUUAAGAAAAUGUGGGCUCCUGUUUGUAACUAAACGGACGUGGGGAGGUGCACCUCCUGUCACUGAGGGGUGCCUUUCAUGGACAG